GAUGAACGUUGGCGGCGUGCCUAACACAUGCAAGUCGAACGGCGAUAGCAAUAUCGGAGUGGCGCACGGGUGAGUAACACGUAGCUUACCUGGCUCAAAGCGCGGGAUAACGUUCCGAAAGGGAUGCUAAUACCGCAUAAGCUCACGGACUAUAGAGGUUGGUGAGAAAAGAGGCAACUCACUUUGAGAUGGGGCUGCGACCCAUCAGCUAGUUGGUGAGGAAGGGCUUACCAAGGCAACGACGGGUAGGGGACCUGAGAGGGU
rnacentral:rRNA from 1 species